CACGCAGUAAACGAUGAAUACUAGCUGUAUGCGAUAUACUGUAUGUGGCACAGCGAAAGCGUUAAGUAUUCCACCUGGGGAGUACGUUCGCAAGAAUGAAACUCAAAGGAAUUGACGGGGGCCCGCACAAGCGGAGGAACAUGUGGUUUAAUUCGAUGAUACGCGAGGAACCUUACCCGGGCUUGAAAUGCAUCUGACCGAUCAGGAAACUGAUUUUCUAGCAAUAGCAGAUGUGUAGGUGC
rnacentral:rRNA from 1 species